UGUUGGGCAUCUACCAAUAAUCAUGGUAUAAGAUUGUCUGCUAAAAGUUCAAUAAAAGUAGAUUACAACCAUUGUGCAUCAGCCUUCUCUGUGCACAUUACGCUAUUUGAAUUCAGAACCCAUAGGUCAUAGACGCAGGGGUAAUUGCCCUCACAAAACUUGGCGCCCAACGUAGGGCUGGACUAAUCGGCUGUCCCUAGACACCCUGAUAACCACGGUCAGAGGACAUACAGAUCCACUUAAAGCAGCACUGCAAGGUUCGCCGGAAGCCUUCCCGAUAGCCAAAGCAAAUGCCAAGAAUACGGCAAAGAAACUGAUCCCGACUCAGAAGGAACUCAACUUGCAGCCCGGAGACUGGGUGGUGAUAAAUAGGCAUAUGAGAAAAGGACUAUUUCCAAGAUUCGAUGGUCCAUUUUAAGUACUGUUGACCACCCGCACCGUUGUAAAGGUUAAAGGAAAACCCAACUGGGUACACGCUUCUCACUACAAGAAAGUCUUGGAACCACAGGAUGAAGAUCCUCCUGCUGACAGUGGCUCUGACCCCGAGCGUGUCAGCAGUGUUCCGUCCACUGAAUAAUGAAUGGGACAAUGCUUUGAUACGGCACCAUCAGGUUCUGUUUGAAAGAAUGAAAUUGAGGGACUUUUGGAUCUGUACUCAGCCCUGUGAGUUCAGCCAGUAUGCCCUAUUUCGCCGUGCCCCUCAGUUUUUCUGAAUUGACUAAACUGGCCAACUCUACUAUCAUUUUCAUAGGCAUGAACUAAAAACAGGGAGGUACCCUUACCCGUUGCAGGAUGGGCUGAGAUCAGGGCCACCAGUUGAUUAUAGCUCUACCCCCUGGAACGAGAACAUGUGGUGCAAUGUGUCAUGCUUUCCAAGUUAGACAUACUGUUAUUGUUUGGAAAUACAGUCGAAAGUUAUGUCUUUUAGUCCUCAUGACAAAUUCGGCUACAAUGACUAACCCGAACAGCCUGGUGCAGUGUGUUGGUAUAGAUCCUGCAAAGGGUAAGAAUUUGGCCUGCAGCAACCGUACCUCAUUUGAUUUCAUUGCAGGAAUAACCUCCAACUCCUCAGAGGGUCAGGAAAAGGGACCAAAACUGGCAGAAGGUGUCCGACUGGCCAAAUUGAUAACUCAGUUGUUAGUACGGUGGUUGCAGUCCCAAAAGAUAUAUUCCUGGUCUGUGGGCAUAAGGCCUACAAGUGGUUGCUCAGAAAUGUCACUGGUUUAUAUCCAAUGGCCCGGCUUACUCCUGCAACCUCUAUAAUACCCCAUUCCGACAUAGAUAUGUUUAUUAAUAAAGUUUGUAAGAAGGGAAAACAAUAUCGAUAUUAUUGAGUGUAUCUGUGGUACUGUUCCCCCUGAAGGGAAUCCUUAGGGCAGAAUAGGAUUAGCUUGUUCUGAAGUACCUUUGGGCAGUAACAGUUCACAGAUUUCUCAAAAUGGGGGAAUUGAGAGAGAUAGAACUCCAUCUUGUAUAUCCUACAAUAAAGAAGAUUACUGAUUACAACCAUUGCGUGUAUCAGCCUUCUCUGUGCACAUUACGCUAUUUGAAUUCGGAACCCAUAAUCAUAAACGCAGGGGUAAUUGCCCUCACAGUUCUCUUGUAU